GAUGACUGAUUUGUGCAUUGCAUUCGCUAAGUCUGUAAUUUUGAAGACCGCAUUAGCCUUCUGUGAUUGUCGUUGAUGACGGAUUUGGAUUAGAGUAGUGUGUAAUUGUCGUUGAUCUGUGAUUGGAAGCAUAGUAAUUGAGUUAAUGACCAACUGUUUUUAUUCUGUCUUUGAAACCGUUUUUAAAUCUGUGCUUGCAUUUUUGUUUGCGUCAGUGUUUUGUUUUUAUUCAUCCGUAUUCACCACAACAUUUUCACAACCCCCCCCC
rnacentral:lncRNA from 1 species